CCAUUUAGCACCUCUGGAGGUCAAAGCACUGUCUGCGAAGAGAAAUACACACGUGGCAAAGCCUCUGCCUAUCAAUCUGGAGGGAAACGCAAACACGCUGGGACCUGCCAGCCAGCCUGAUGGGAGCAGCAGCACCUGGGUGUGUGGACGCUUUCGUGAACACAGGAGGACAUCCCGGGAGGUAUCAGGGCAAAAAAGGCUACCAAAAUAAUAGAGUCAGGAGGAGACUACAAUGUAAAUGAGAAGAACCAUCAUAUCUGAAAG
rnacentral:lncRNA from 1 species